rnacentral:rRNA from 1 species
GACGAACGCUGGCGGCGUGCUUAACACAUGCAAGUCGAACGCUGAAGCUUGGUGCUUGCACUGGGUGGAUGAGUGGCGAACGGGUGAGUAAUACGUGAGUAACCUGCCCUUGACUCUGGGAUAAGCCUGGGAAACUGGGUUUAAUACUGGAUACGACAUGCCACUGCAUGGUGGGGUGUAGAAAGGGUUUUAAUGGUUUUGGAUGGGCUCACGGCCUAUCAGCUUGGUGGUGGGGUAAUGGCCUACCAAGGCGACGACGGGUAGUCGGCCUGAGAGGGUGGCCGGCCACACUGGGACUGAGACACGGCCCAGACUCCUACGGGAGGCAGCAGUGGGGAAUAUUGCACAAUGGGCGGAAGCCUGAUGCAGCGACGCCGCGUGAGGGAUGACGGCCUUCGGGUUGUAAACCUCUUUCAGCACGGAAGAAGCGAGAGUGACGGUACGUGCAGAAGAAGCGCCGGCUAACUACGUG